rnacentral:pre_miRNA from 1 species
CAAGUACUCCCUCCAUCCGGAAUUACUUGUCAUCAAAAUGGAUGUGUCUAGAACUAAAAUACAUCUAGAUACAUCCAUUUCAAUGACAAGUAUUUUCAGACGGAGGGAGUACAAG